UGUCCUUCCAGCCCAUUCCCAAACUUCGGGGCUGCUUUGUUUGCACUGCACAAGUGAUGCUCCAUCUGCAUUUCUGAUUGGGAAUGCCUCUUUCCAUCCGAGUGCACUCCAGUUUGGCUGCCUCCUCUCUGGGGUGAAUAACAAAGAGCAUGCCAGUUGUCUGCAGGAGCAGAGGCUUUCUGAAUCACAAAAGAGCCCAUUUUAUCAGAAAAUCUAAUAAUGUGCAACACUUUUGUGAACCAAACCCUGUGUGACCAGCUGGAACUUUGAAAAAAAUUUCACAAGAGGCCGUGGGGACAGUUAAUCACGACAGAGGCAACUUUUAUGCAAUUUCUGAAGCAGCAUGGAGUUCCAUGGUCUGUCCAAGGGAGAGCCCCAGGAGCCCACUCAUGCUUGCAAGAGGCAGCUGUGUAGAAUCCAGGGGCUGGAAAAGCCCUCCCAGACCAUGGAGUCCAACCUGUGCCAGAUCCCCACCUUGUCCCCAAGUGCCACCUCCAGGAAUUCCUUGGACACCUGCAGGGAUGGGCACUCCAACCCUCCCUGGGCAGCCCCUGACACUAUCAAAAUCUGCUGAAGUUCUGAAGCAGGUUCUCGAGCAGCUCCAAAGGCCCUCCCAGGUGGAUUGCUCCUCCAUUAAGGCCUCUCUUUACGGGUGUUUCCUGCUCGUUUUGGAGGAAUGGAAUGCCAGCUCUGCCUCUCACACGAUGGGGAAAAGCUGCAGUAAACUGAAACUGAAACAGAAGUACAAUCCACAGGGGAAGCACUACCACAGGUUUAAUGUAUUCCCCCCAGAAAUCACAAAAGUCUUUCAGGGUCUCACAUGUUUAUGGUUAAAAGUGUGCAGCCUGGCUGAGGGCACCUGUGUGUGUCACAUUUUGGUGUGUUUACAGGGGGUUUACAGCAGGUGCAGGAACCUCUUUGCCUUCACCAGCUCUGAGCUGGAGCUGCUGCAGCAGCUCAGAGACCUUUUCCAAAGCUUGGUGUUGGUUUUUGUGACACUGGGCAGGGAGGGUUUGUGCUCUUUGGGAGUGCAAGGGAUGCUGAAGCAGCUUGUGCCAUGGUGCAUGUUGUUAUUUCAUUGAAUCCUGUUAUUUUCUGUUUCCUGCUGUUAUUUUAUAUAAAUCCAAGUUGUUAUUUCAUGGAAUCACAGAGUAUCCUGAGCUGGAAGAGACCCACAAGGAACAAGUCCAGCUCCUGGCCCUGCACAGACACCCCAAAAAUCCCACUGAGAGCAUUGUCCAAAGGCUCCUGGAGCUCUGGCAGCCCCGGGGCUGUGCCC